UACGUAGGGGGCAAGCGUUGUCCGGAUUUAUUGGGCGUAAAGCGCGUGUAGGCGGCCAGGUAGGUCCGCUGUGAAAACCCGAGGCUCAACCUCGGGACGUCGGCGGAAACCAUCUGGCUAGAGUCCGGAAGAGGAGAGUGGAAUUCCCGGUGUAGCGGUGAAAUGCGCAGAUAUCGGGAAGAACACCCGUGGCGAAAGCGACUUCCUGGACCAAUACUGACGCUCAUGUGCGAAAGCCAGGGGAGCAAACGGG
rnacentral:rRNA from 1 species